rnacentral:rRNA from 1 species
AAGGAGUUUAGCGUGUGCGCGAGUCAUUGGGUACUAUAAACCUAAAGGCGAAAUGAAAGUGAAGGAAACUUGCUUUCUGAAGGAAGAUGGGUCAGGCCUCUCCGAGGCCUCCUCGCACUCCUGGGGCGUCUGUAACUCUCUCAGAGAGGAAGGCGCACCUAGAGCGCACACGCUGAUACCCGAAAGAUGGUGAACUAUGCCUGGCCAGGACGAAGCCAGGGGAAACCCUGGUGGAGGUCCGCAGCGAUUCUGACGUGCAAAUCGAUCGUCGGAGCUGGGUAUAGGGGCGAAAGACCAAUCGAACCAUCUAGUAGCUGGUUCCCUCUGAAGUUUCCCUCAGGAUAGCUUGCGCUCGAAUUUCAAGAGUCUCAUCCGGUAGAGCGAAUGAUUAGAGGCCUUGGGGUCGAAACGACCUCAACCUAUUCUCAAACUCCAAAUAGAUGAGAUCAUCGGCUUGCUUGAACGAAUGUUGAAGCCGGUGUUUUGGAUCAGAGUGCCAAGUGGGCCAAUUUUGG